AUUGAACGCUGGCGGCAGGCCUAACACAUGCAAGUCGAACGAGUGGCGGACGGGUGAGUAAUGUCUGGGAAACUGCCUGAUGGAGGGGGAUAACUACUGGAAACGGUAGCUAAUACCGCAUACCAUCAGAUGUGCCCAGAUGGGAUUAGCGUGUUGGUGGGGUAACGGCUCACCAAGGCGACGAUCCCUAGCUGGUCUGAGAGGACGACCAGCCACCCUGGAACGGAGACACGGUCCAGACUCCUACGGGAGGCAGCAGGAGGGAAUAUUGCACAAUGGGCGCAAUCCUGAUGCAGCCAGGCCGCGUGUAUGAAGAAGGCCUUCGGGUUGUAAAGUACUUUCCGCUGUGAGGCGUUACCCGCAGAAGAAGCACCGGCUAACUCCGUGCCAGCAGCCGCGGUAAUUC
rnacentral:rRNA from 1 species